rnacentral:rRNA from 1 species
AACGAACGCUGGCGGCAUGCCUAACACAUGCAAGUCGAACGAGACCUUCGGGUCUAGUGGCGCACGGGUGCGUAACGCGUGGGAACCUGCACUUAGGUUCGGAAUACCUCCCCGAAAGGGGUGCUAAUAACGGAUAAUGUCUUCGGACCAAAGAUUUAUCGCCUUUGGAUGGGCCCGCGUUGGAUUAGCUAGUUGGUAGGGUAAAAGCCUACCAAGGCGACGAUCCAUAGCUGGUCUGAGAGGAUGAUCAGCAACACUGGGACUGAGACACGGCCCAGACUCCUACGGAAGGCAGCAGUGGGGAAUAUUGGACGAUGGGCGAAAGCCUGAUCCAGCAAUGCCGCGUGAGUGAGGAAGGCCUUAGGGUUGUAAAGCUCUUUUACCCGAGAUGAUAAUGACAGUACCGGGAGAAGAAGCUCCGGCUAACUCCGUG